AGUGAACGCUGGCGGUAGGCCUAACACAUGCAAGUCGAACGGCAGCACAGUAAGAGCUUGCUCUUACGGGUGGCGAGUGGCGGACGUGUGAGGAAUACAUCGGAAUCUACUUUUUCGUGGGGGAUAACGUAGGGAAACUUACGCUAAUACCGCAUACGACCUACGGGUGAAAGCAGGGGAUCUUCUGACCUUGCGCGAUUGAAUGAGCCGAUGUCGGAUUAGCUAGUUGGCGGGGUAAAGGCCCACCAAGGCGACGAUCCGUAGCUGGUCUGAGAGGAUGAUCAGCCACACUGGAACUGAGACACGGUCCAGACUCCUACGGGAGGCAGCAGUGGGGAAUAUUGGACAAUGGGCGCAAGCCUGAUCCAGCCAUACCGCGUGGGUGAAGAAGGCCUUCGGGUUGUAAAGCCCUUUUGUUGGGAAAGAAAAGCAGCAGGUUAAUACCCCGCUGUUCUGACGGUACCCAAAGAAUAAGCACCGGCUAACUUCGUG
rnacentral:rRNA from 1 species